ACCAUGUGUGGACACAGCAAGAAGGCAGCAUCUAUAAGCUAGGAAGGAGGCCCUCACCAGACUUGGAAUCUGCUGGCUUCCUGAUCUUGGCCUUUCUAGCCUCCAGAACUAUGGGUGAAAGCUGUGGAAGAAUACAGACUGACCAGGAACCCCACCCUAAGGAAGAGAUUGCCCGGGAAUGCCUUCAGGAGACUCCUUAAGAUGGACCUCAGGGAUGCAGAUGCCUUGCCUUCUGCACUGCAGCCUCUGAAUUGCUUGCUACUUUCUUACUUGUGCACAGCAAGGGGGCAUAAUUACCCAUUGGCAAGUGCUUCUGGCCUCUGGACUUCAGGGACCUAGACGUUCAAAGCCUGCUGGAAUAAAAGAACUUCCUAAGGUUCAGAACACAACCUAACACCAGCAUUCAGGGAAACAACACAAAGACUUGUCCAUGAUGGUUACAGCCACCCAAAAAAGCCAUCUUCAUAUAUGUGUAGUUUCAAUAGUUUCCAUUGGUCUUCUGGUGACAGUGCAUUCACCCAAACACACUAGCACACUAGGUGUACCAUCCAUCUCCAUAGAAGAGUGGGACAUAGCCGCUGAUGGAUUCUUUGUGAGGCCAAUCCAAGACCCCCAUAUGCUAUUACUAUAUGAUCUGAAUGCCAAGGAAGCAGUCAGUCCCACCUUACCCCAGAGCCAGCUGCUUCCUUACUAAUGUACUCUCUACUAUAAUUUCAGGGAAGGACCUAAAAAACAUACUUCUUGGCUUGGCAGUGAUCUUAGAGGCACUUGUAUCCUAGAUGUCCCAGAGACACUGAUCAUAGGUCAUGUCCUUCCUGUCCUCCCUGAGAGACAAUGUAGUUUGGUGAAAAAGGCAUGACAAAGAUGUGUGACCUUGAGACUGUCAGCCUCAUCAUCCAAAAAAUGAGGGGCAAAUGUACUAGAAAAUCUCUAGAUCCUUUCUCUGAUCGUUAUAUUCCUGACACUUUGAGGGGUUCCUGUUUCCUAAAUGCUCCAGGUUUUGCAGGCUUGGAGUGAUUCCCAAAGCCAUCCUUUAUCAGCGCUAUCUGGCUUCAUCAACAGUUUUCUCCAAGGUGAAUACUCAGAUAGCCCCCUCUAAGUCUCUUUUACAAGUAAAGAGAAUGAACACUCCACAAUCCGUAUGAAACCCUAGCACAUCAGUGGUUUAAGUGGAUUUCUUUCACCACCAGAAAGCUCUUGUUACGUAAUGUAACUAUUAGGCUGGGCUGAACUUCAUCUGAUGAUAAAUGAUAGGUCACAGAAAGUUCAUGCCCAAUAACAGAAGUAGCAUAUCAGUAUUACCCAGAGCACACACAUAUGAAAGAUGGAAGAGCCAUCAAUAAUCAUGUUUGGUCCUUGUAAUUAUUAUUAGCUUAGUAAUAGUUAUUGCCAUCCUCACUCUUUCUGCUGAAAGAGAGGCUUUCUGCUAAAGAGCAACUAAUAACAAUGAAGGGUCAAAUGUACACAACAAAUAAUACUCCUCACCCAGACACAUAAUACAG
rnacentral:lncRNA from 1 species